rnacentral:rRNA from 1 species
UACGAGCGGCCCAAACGUUAUUCGGAAUUACUGGGCUUAAAGAGUUCGUAGGCGGUAUGAUAAGUAGGGUGUGAAAGCCCUCGGCUCAACCGAGGAAUUGCGCUCUAAACUGUCGUACUUGAGGAACCUAGAGGUGAGCAGAACAGAUGGUGGAGCGGUGAAAUGCGUUGAUAUCAUCUGGAAUACCGGAGGCGAAGGCGGCUCACUGGGAGUUUUCUGACGCUGAGGAACGAAAGCCAGGGUAGCGAACGGG